AGCUCUGAUGGGGUUGGGACCCCCACAUUUCUUUUUUUGGGGAGGGCCCCCAAAAUUGUGGGUCUGGGUGCCUGUAGUUGUUGCGGGGGGUGGCGCUGGCACUCCCUCCUGUGUGUCAUGUUCCCCCCAGCACCCUAAAUCUGCCAGCUCAGCAAAAAUACCCCACCCUGUGACCCCACCCUGGCGCCAGACACACCCUGGGGGGGUGGGGGGGGGUGGCAGUUGGGGUUCCCCCUAUUUUCUGCCCCCCCUGACCUGUUGGGGAAAAUUGGGGUGGGGGGGUGGGGAGAUAAGGGACUGAACUGUCCCCGUUUUGGGGACCUUGCCCCUCCACCCAUGCAAAUACACCCCCAAAUUACUUGGUUCCGGCCCCCCCCCCCCCCCCCAAGAGGCACCACCCAGGGCAAAGUCCCCCCACCCUGCCCCACGCACCCAUAAAAACUGGGGGGGCCCCGGCCGGCGCCGCAGCCGCUGGCAGCUCCCUCCCGCCAUGGACAAGCAGCACAAGGAACCGGGCAAGAAGCACAAGGAUGGCCACUCCUCUGACUCCUCCAGUUCCAGCUCCAGCUCUGACGACGAGAGGAAGCACCACCCCGGCCACGAGCACAAGAAAAAGGAGAAACUGCACAAGAAAUCCAAGGAGAAGGAGAAGAAAAGGCACUGAGGGGGGAGGGACAGGAGGUGACGGGGGGCAGGAGGUGACAGGGGGGUGACAGCAUGCCCCCCCUGACCUGCCAUGGGGGUGACAACACACCCCCCCCCCCAACCCGCCAUGGGGUGUCACCUAUGCCCCCCCCCUUUCCCAAUAAAGAGCUUA